UAACUUACAAGAGCUUAUUUUUUCAAGAAAUUUAUUUUUACUAAUUUAUACAGUUACUAAAAAAGAAAAACAGCUAUGAUAGCUAUAAGGUACCUUGGUAAUGUUUAAGAUUUCUCAAAAAUUUGUUGUUAUUUGACUCUGUGGAAAUAACUGAAUUUUAUAACUUGCUUUCAUUUCAUAUGUAUUUAAUGUAAAUGUCUUUGUUUAGAUAGAAUGGCCUUUUUGUUUCAAAGAAAUUAACCACCACCAACCAGUCCCUCACCUAUUUUCUCCCUCAGGAUGACUUUUAGUCUGGAGACAAGGGGACCCGAAGGUGUCCUUAGCGUAAGUACAGGAGUAGAAACAUAAGAAUGAAACUGUAAAGGGAUUAGCCGAGGAGACCCUGCAAACGCUCGCUCGCUCACUACUCGGUGGAGUUGAGACAACCCAUUUUUGAUGCGAACUUUUAACAAAUGAAAAGGAAGAGUACUUAUUUUUAAAUUGCACAAGCUAAAUUAAAGAUCAGAAGUCAAAGCUCGCUUUAUGAACCUCUGCUGACGAAAGGUAGUUUAUGGAUAUGCCAACACAUAUACAGACAGAUUGUAAAAUAACCGUAUCUAUUUGCAGGGUGAUUCGAAUAAUGUUUAACUUUAUUUUGAUAUUACUUUAUAAGGAGACAUACAAAUAUUUUAGGGAUCAUGGGAUCUAUUCCAGAGGAAACUAACCAGCUGUGAUCAUCUUCAACUAAAACUUCCCGUGGAUAUGAUGGUUGCAUGCAUCAUUCCUUUAAUUGAGCAGAGUUAACUGGAUCAAAUUAUUUAUGAGAGAGAGAGGGAAAGCUAUACAGAAUUACAGUAAUUUUUAAUUUCCACCAGUAUACUCUUUACUGAUUGUACCUCCCAUGAACAAAGGAAACCCGAAGGAACCAAGGGCCUGGCUGGACGGAGUUGUCAUGUGUCUGCCUGUCUACACUUGCUGUGCAGAACAUCCGCUCACCUGUACAGCAGGCACAGACAGGCAGUCACAUGACAACCCAGCCUGAAUGACAACCAGCCAUUGAAAGAAAGCAGCCCUCACACCAUGUAGCAUCUACACCACGAGCUACAACCAAAACGAGGGGCGCGGGGGGCCUGGGGCUUUCAUCUGUUGGUUGAAUACUUAACUCGUAUGUAUUAUUAUUAUUAUUAUUAUUUUAUUUUGACUCGAAUUUUGAAACCCACCAAAAGUAAAGUGAGUCAUGCCUAUGGAAUCU